rnacentral:rRNA from 1 species
AGCUCGUGUCGUGAGAUGUGGGUUAAGUCCCGCAACGAGCGCAACCUCGCCUUAGUUGCCAGCAUUUAGUUGGGCACUCUAAGGGGACUGCUGGUGAUAAGCCGAGAGGAAGGUGGGGAUGACGUCAAGUCCUCAUGGCCCUUACGGGCUGGGCUACACACGUGCUACAAUGGUGGUGACAGUGGGCAGCGAGCACGCGAGUGUGAGCUAAUCUCCAAAAGCCAUCUCAGUUCGGAUUGAAGUCUGCAACUCGACUUCAUGAAGCUGGAAUCGCUAGUAAUCGUGGAUCAGCCAAGCCGCGGUGAAUACGUUCCCGGGCCUU